rnacentral:ncRNA from 2 species
ACGCGUGCUCCGGGGUCGGUGUAAUUCCGAGCCGGCGGUAACAGUCCGCGAGCCCGUCCUCUCGAGGCCGGGUUGAGCUGGUGGAACUCCAGCACCGACGGUGAAAGUCCGGAUGGGAGGCAGCACGCGA